CAGAGGGGGGGGGGGCUGGAGGAGGAGACAUUCUGGAAUCAGAAACAAUGGAUUAAUCGCCUGUAAUGAUUUAAUACAGGCAAUCAGAGUCCAGGCAAGCAUAUUAAUUUGCGCAUAAAUUACACAACAUUUAUUUUUCAGAUUGGGGGGGGUUAGCAUGUGUGGCGGUUGAUUUAGUCUUUUCCCAGGGACAUCAUGGUGAAGGUUUGCGACAGCGAUUCCCACGCCUAUCCCCGUGCCGCAAGUCACCAGGUUUCAGAUCCCCUGGUCCCUGGUCCCACACCCCGACCUGCUGGCGCUGCCCGCCCUCUGCCAGCAGCAGCUUGCCGACUUGCCAAGUAUAGAAUGUUGAACCAUUACAGCAGGUCAAACAUAAUUAAGAGCAAAAUGCCCGCUUCCUCAUCAACAUGAUUUUGUUGUAUUAAUGAUAUCCAGAGAUCACAGAAAACAUAUUUGCGAUUUGUUCUCCGCUAAGUCUUCUGCGAAAAAAUAGGGGGAAAAUCCAUUCUGUGACAAGGUGCUGUAAUUAGAGGGAUUACAUUUUUUUCCAAGUCGUCCUGUAAUAAUUGACUAUAACCAUAGAUAUCCACAUCAUUGACAUACACACACACACAUACUGUAUGUAGUAUGAGUCCUUGCUGCACAGAUUGGAAGACACUCAAUUAAUCCGAGUUGGAAAGGUUGAGCGCGCCCACUUUUUUUAAUUAACGUUGAAUUAAAACGAAUUGGCAGGUUGCCGAAAGCAGGCGCACGGCUUUGAAGAUUGCAUCGCAUAAUGAGUCGCUCUUUCUUUUUUUUUACACUUUAGGCUCCUCCAUUUCCACUCCCUCGCUCUCCGCUCCAGUCCAAUGUGCCUUAGCGAUUUAAUGAUAUGCAAAUGAAAUAUGCAAAAACCAUUCUGCUGAAGAUGAUUAAGCACAGAGGACAAUAGCCAGUGCCCGCCACAUGUCUGUUGUCUCCUCUCCAUUCCGCUUCGCCCGGGGCCAACGACAGACACCACUGGAACAAAGCUCAAUACUAAUUAUAGGAGAACACUAAUAAUAUCCAAUUGAGAGAAAUUAAUAUCCAGGAGGGUAUUUUCUCGCUCUGUUUUGUAAGAUCCACAUCCAGAAAAGUGAGCAAAGUCCCAGAGCUGAGGACUGGAGCUGUAGAGAGCAGAGAGGAAAGGAGAGGAGGCAGAGACCAGGUUUCCAGCGUAUCACUUGAAGAGACUAGCAUUGCCAAGCAUUGCAGGAGCUUUUCUCUGCUUGUUUGCGAGUAGUGUUGCAUUAUUUGAAUGCUGUCUUAUUAUAGAAGGAAGGAAAAUAUCCCCCCUUUCUCAAUCUCUCUCUCUCAAUUUCCCCCCUUUCUCCCUCCUGUUCUCUGCUGCGAGCUCUCUUUUUUUGGUAAUCCAUUUAUGUAAUGAAGACGUGGCGCAAUUAACAUCCCCCUUGGAAUUAAAUAAAAGGCCGAUCAUCCAAACCUCAUUAGCUCCGAAAGAUUAUAAUAUCCACACGCGUUCCGCCGUGAAGGUUACGGGAAAAAACACAACAGAAUUACGAAUUAAACCGUUAAUUGUGUGUAUUUGGAUCGCAGGUUUAAGCGACCACGGCGUAGAUGCCCAAAAAGAUGCCACCAUCCAUACCAGCCUAUCCUUACUGGUGGCAGCCUGGCUCUGACAUCUUGGUGGUGUAUGCCAAGGCAAUGUAUGAAGCACAAAGAUCUUAUAAUCCCUCCCUUUGGAUGGCUUCUUCAAUUAUUCAUAUUCCACAACCGUGCCCUGUUGUCCAACAAAAAUCCAGCAAAAGGGAAAAAAAGUUUGGGAUAUCCAUUUGUGAUGGCCAAUGGCUGAUGUUGAUUUCUUCCUCGCUAAUUGUUGUAAUUAUUCCGGUGCAAUUAGUGAACUUAACGAAACCCUCCAAUCUGUCUGUUUGCAGCGGCGCCGAUCCUUGGCUCUGUGCCCGAUGCCAGUGGACCUCGUGGGAACCACGGCAACGUUCUUCCAGACCCCUGGAGAAAUGGCAGACCGUUACAAGGAUGUGCAGACACACCUGCCUACCCAGGAUGCUAUACUUCAGCAUCUCAGCAGGAAGCCCAGGUUAAAGUGGAGGAGCGUGAAGCCCAGGUCCAGGAGCUGUAGGACACCAUCACAGAGCUGCACCAGGAGAUGACCAGGAAGGACCAGGACAAGCUGACACAGCUGCAGGAGCUCCACCAGCUGGAGAGCAGGGUGGAGCAGCUCACUGACCAGGUCAGGAGCAUUGAGGAGACCAUAGGCCAGCUGAGACAGGAGGUGGCUGUUAGAGUGGGCAUCAGCAGCGCUACCCUGUCUGGGGACGU